UACGGAGGAUCCGAGCGUUAUCCGGAUUCAUUGGGUUUAAAGGGUGCGCAGGCGGGAGAUUAAGUCGGCGGUGAAAUUUUGCAGCUCAACUGUAAAAGUGCCUUCGAAACUGGUUUCCUUGAGUGUGGAUGAAGUAGGCGGAAUUUGUGGUGUAGCGGUGAAAUGCAUAGAUAUCACGAGGAACUCCGAUUGCGCAGGCAGCUUACUAAACUACUACUGACGCUCAGGCACGAAGGCGUGGGGAUCAAACAGGAUUAGAUACCCCGGUA
rnacentral:rRNA from 1 species